GAUGAACGCUGGCGGCGUGCCUAAUACAUGCAAGUCGAGCGAACAGAUGAGGAGCUUGCUCCUCUGACGUUAGCGGCGGACGGGUGAGUAACACGUGGAUAACCUACCUAUAAGACUGGGAUAACUUCGGGAAACCGGAGCUAAUACCGGAUAAUAUAUUGAACCGCAUGGUUCAAUAGUGAAAGACGGUUUUGCUGUCACUUAUAGAUGGAUCCGCGCCGCAUUAGCUAGUUGGUAAGGUAACGGCUUACCAAGGCGACGAUGCGUAGCCGACCUGAGAGGGUGAUCGGCCACACUGGAACUGAGACACGGUCCAGACUCCUACGGGAGGCAGCAGUAGGGAAUCUUCCGCAAUGGGAGAAAGCUUGACGGAGCAAAGCCGCGUGAGUGAUGAAGGUCUUCGGAUCGUAAAACUCUGUUAUUAGGGAAGAACAAAUGUGUAAGUAACUAUGCACGUCUUGACGGUACCUAAUCAGAAAGCCACGGCUAACUACGUG
rnacentral:rRNA from 1 species